rnacentral:rRNA from 1 species
GGGUUGUGAGGUUAAGCGACUAAGCGUACACGGUGGAUGCCCUGGCAGUCAGAGGCGAUGAAGGGCGUGCUAAUCUGCGAUAAGCGCCGGUAAGGUGAUAUGAACCGUUAUAACCGGCGAUACCCGAAUGGGGAAACCCAGUGUGACUCGUCACACUAUCAUUAACUGAAUCCAUAGGUUAAUGAGGCGAACCGGGGGAACUGAAACAUCUAAGUACCCCGAGGAAAAGAAAUCAACCGAGAUUCCCCCAGUAGCGGCGAGCGAACGGGGAGGAGCCCAGAGCCUGAAUCAGCAUGUGUGUUAGUGGAAGCGUCUGGAAAGGCGCGCGAUACAGGGUGACAGCCCCGUACACAAAAGCGCAUGUGCUGUGAGCUCGAUGAGUAGGGCGGGACACGUGGUAUCCUGUCUGAAUAUGGGGGGACCAUCCUCCAAGGCUAAAUACUCCUGACUGACCGAUAGUGAACCAGUACCGUGAGGGAAAGGCGAAAAGAACCCCGGCGAGGGGAGUGAAAAAGAACCUGAAACCGUGUACGUACAAGCAGUGGGAGCACCCUUUGGGGUGUGACUGCGUACCUUUUGUAUAAUGGGUCAGCGACUUAUAUUCUGUAGCAAGGUUAACCGUAUAGGGGAGCCGGAGGGAAACCGAGUCUUAAUUGGGCGUUAAGUUGCAGGGUAUAGACCCGAAACCCGGUGAUCUAGCCAUGGGCAGGUUGAAGGUUGGGUAACACUAACUGGAGGACCGAACCGACUAAUGUUGAAAAAUUAGCGGAUGACCUGUGGCUGGGGGUGAAAGGCCAAUCAAACCGGGAGAUAGCUGGUUCUCCCCGAAAGCUAUUUAGGUAGCGCCUCGUGAAUUCAUCUCCGGGGGUAGAGCACUGUUUCGGCUAGGGGGCCAUCCCGGCUUACCAACCCGAUGCAAACUGCGAAUACCGGAGAAUGUUAUCACGGGAGACACACGGCGGGUGCUAACGUCCGUCGUGAAGAGGGAAACAACCCAGACCGCCAGCUAAGGUCCCAAAGUCAUGGUUAAGUGGGAAACGAUGUGGGAAGGCCCAGACAGCCAGGAUGUUGGCUUAGAAGCAGCCAUCAUUUAAAGAAAGCGUAAUAGCUCACUGGUCGAGUCGGCCUGCGCGGAAGAUGUAACGGGGCUAAACCAUGCACCGAAGCUGCGGCAGCGACGCUGAUGCGUUGUUGGGUAGGGGAGCGUUCUGUAAGCCUGUGAAGGUGUGUCGUGAGGCAUGCUGGAGGUAUCAGAAGUGCGAAUGCUGACAUAAGUAACGAUAAAGCGGGUGAAAAGCCCGCUCGCCGGAAGACCAAGGGUUCCUGUCCAACGUUAAUCGGGGCAGGGUGAGUCGACCCCUAAGGCGAGGCCGAAAGGCGUAGUCGAUGGGAAACGGGUUAAUAUUCCCGUACUUGGUGUUACUGCGAAGGGGGGACGGAGAAGGCUAUGUUGGCCGGGCGACGGUUGUCCCGGUUUAAGCGUGUAGGCUGGUUUUCCAGGCAAAUCCGGAAAAUCAAGGCUGAGGCGUGACGACGAGGCACUACGGUGCUGAAGCAACAAAUGCCCUGCUUCCAGGAAAAGCCUCUAAGCAUCAGGUAACAUCAAAUCGUACCCCAAACCGACACAGGUGGUCAGGUAGAGAAUACCAAGGCGCUUGAGAGAACUCGGGUGAAGGAACUAGGCAAAAUGGUGCCGUAACUUCGGGAGAAGGCACGCUGACACGUAGGUGAAGUGAUUUACUCAUGGAGCUGAAGUCAGUCGAAGAUACCAGCUGGCUGCAACUGUUUAUUAAAAACACAGCACUGUGCAAACACGAAAGUGGACGUAUACGGUGUGACGCCUGCCCGGUGCCGGAAGGUUAAUUGAUGGGGUCAGCGCAAGCGAAGCUCCUGAUCGAAGCCCCGGUAAACGGCGGCCGUAACUAUAACGGUCCUAAGGUAGCGAAAUUCCUUGUCGGGUAAGUUCCGACCUGCACGAAUGGCGUAAUGAUGGCCAGGCUGUCUCCACCCGAGACUCAGUGAAAUUGAACUCGCUGUGAAGAUGCAGUGUACCCGCGGCAAGACGGAAAGACCCCGUGAACCUUUACUAUAGCUUGACACUGAACAUUGAGCCUUGAUGUGUAGGAUAGGUGGGAGGCUUUGAAGUGUGGACGCCAGUCUGCAUGGAGCCGACCUUGAAAUACCACCCUUUAAUGUUUGAUGUUCUAACGUGGACCCGUUACCCGGGUUGCGGACAGUGUCUGGUGGGUAGUUUGACUGGGGCGGUCUCCUCCUAAAGAGUAACGGAGGAGCACGAAGGUUGGCUAAUCCUGGUCGGACAUCAGGAGGUUAGUGCAAUGGCAUAAGCCAGCUUGACUGCGAGCGUGACGGCGCGAGCAGGUGCGAAAGCAGGUCAUAGUGAUCCGGUGGUUCUGAAUGGAAGGGCCAUCGCUCAACGGAUAAAAGGUACUCCGGGGAUAACAGGCUGAUACCGCCCAAGAGUUCAUAUCGACGGCGGUGUUUGGCACCUCGAUGUCGGCUCAUCACAUCCUGGGGCUGAAGUAGGUCCCAAGGGUAUGGCUGUUCGCCAUUUAAAGUGGUACGCGAGCUGGGUUUAGAACGUCGUGAGACAGUUCGGUCCCUAUCUGCCGUGGGCGCUGGAGAACUGAGGGGGGCUGCUCCUAGUACGAGAGGACCGGAGUGGACGCAUCACUGGUGUUCGGGUUGUCAUGCCAAUGGCACUGCCCGGUAGCUAAAUGCGGAAGAGAUAAGUGCUGAAAGCAUCUAAGCACGAAACUUGCCCCGA